CCUACGGGGGGCAGCAGUGAGGAAUAUUGGUCAAUGGGCGUAAGCCUGAACCAGCCAAGUCGCGUGAGGGAUGAAGGUCUUAUGGAUCGUAAACCCUUUUUACAAGGGAAUAAAGUGUGGGACGUGUCCUGUUUUGUAUGUACCUUAUGAAUAAGGAUCGGCUAACUCCGUGCCAGCAGCCGCGGUAAUACGGAGGAUGCGAGCGUUAUCCGGAUUUAUUGGGUUUAAAGGGUGCGUAGGCGGCCUUUUAAGUCAGCGGUGAAAGUCUGUGGCUCAACCAUAGAAUUGCCGUUGAAACUGGCAGGCUUGAGUAUGUGUGAGGCAGGCGGAAUGCGUGGUGUAGCGGUGAAAUGCUUAGAUAUCACGCAGAACCCCGAUUGCGAAGGCAGCCUGCCGGGCCAUAACUGACGCUGAUGCACGAAAGCGUGGGGAUCAAACAGGAUUAGAUACCCGAGUAGUC
rnacentral:rRNA from 1 species